rnacentral:rRNA from 1 species
GACGAACGCUGGCGGCGUGCUUAACACAUGCAAGUCGAACGGAAAGGCCCUGCUUUUGUGGGGUGCUCGAGUGGCGAACGGGUGAGUAACACGUGAGUAACCUGCCCUUGACUUUGGGAUAACUUCAGGAAACUGGGGCUAAUACCGGAUAGGAGCUCCUGCUGCAAGGUGGGGGUUGGAAAGUUUCGGCGGUUGGGGAUGGACUCGCGGCUUAUCAGCUUGUUGGUGGGGUAGUGGCUUACCAAGGCUUUGACGGGUAGCCGGCCUGAGAGGGUGACCGGCCACAUUGGGACUGAGAUACGGACCAGACUCCUACGGGAGGCAGCAGUGGGGAAUAUUGCACAAUGGGCGGAAGCCUGAUGCAGCAACGCCGCGUGCGGGAUGACGGCCUUCGGGUUGUAAACCGCUUUCGCCUGUGACGAAGCGUGAGUGACGGUAAUGGGUAAAGAAGCACCGGCUAACUACGUG